rnacentral:rRNA from 1 species
CUGAGGCGUGAUGACGAGGCACCACGGUGCUGAAGUGACAAAUGCCCUGCUUCCAGGAAAAGCCUCUAAGCAUCAGGUAACAUCAAAUCGUACCCCAAACCGACACAGGUGGUCAGGUAGAGAAUACCAAGGCGCUUGAGAGAACUCGGGUGAAGGAACUAGGCAAAAUGGUGCCGUAACUUCGGGAGAAGGCACGCUGACAUGUAGGUGAAGCCCCUGCGGGUGGAGCUGAAGUCAGUCGAAGAUACCAGCUGGCUGCAACUGUUUAUUAAAAACACAGCACUGUGCAAACACGAAAGUGGACGUAUACGGUGUGACGCCUGCCCGGUGCCGGAAGGUUAAUUGAUGGGGUUAUCGCAAGAGAAGCUCCUGAUCGAAGCCCCGGUAAACGGCGGCCGUAACUAUAACGGUCCUAAGGUAGCGAAAUUCCUUGUCGGGUAAGUUCCGACCUGCACGAAUGGCGUAAUGAUGGCCAGGCUGUCUCCACCCGAGACUCAGUGAAAUUGAACUCGCUGUGAAGAUGCAGUGUACCCGCGGCAAGACGGAAAGACCCCGUGAACCUUUACUACAGCUUGACACUGAACAUUGAGCCUUGAUGUGUAGGAUAGGUGGGAGGCUUUGAAGCGUGGACGCCAGUCUGCGUGGAGCCGACCUUGAAAUACCACCCUUUAAUGUUUGAUGUUCUAACCUGGCGCCGUGAUCCGGCGUGGGGACAGUGUCUGGUGGGUAGUUUGACUGGGGCGGUCUCCUCCCAAAGUGUAACGGAGGAGCACGAAGGUCAGCUAAUCCUGGUCGGACAUCAGGAGGUUAGUGCAAUGGCAUAAGCUGGCUUGACUGCGAGAGUGACGGCUCGAGCAGGUGCGAAAGCAGGUCAUAGUGAUCCGGUGGUUCUGUAUGGAAGGGCCAUCGCUCAACGGAUAAAAGGUACUCCGGGGAUAACAGGCUGAUACCGCCCAAGAGUUCAUAUCGACGGCGGUGUUUGGCACCUCGAUGUCGGCUCAUCACAUCCUGGGGCUGAAGUAGGUCCCAAGGGUAUGGCUGUUCGCCAUUUAAAGUGGUACGCGAGCUGGGUUUAGAACGUCGUGAGACAGUUCGGUCCCUAUCUGCCGUGGGCGCUGGAGAAUUGAGGGGGGCUGCUCCCAGUACGAGAGGACCGGAGUGGACGCAUCACUGGUGUUCGGGUUGUCAUGCCAAUGGCACUGCCCGGUAGCUAAAUGCGGAAGAGAUAAGUGCUGAAAGCAUCUAAGCACGAAACUUGCCCCG